CGAGUUUUUUCUAAAACGCUAAAUACGAUUGUUGGCGGUUGUCAAAGAUGCGAUAUAAUUUUUAGUGGUUGUUGUUGAUGGUACCUCUCCUCGGUGUUGUUUGUGUUGCAGUUGUGGAUGGUACCCCUAUUUUAUAUAUGGUUGUUGAUGGUACCCUCCUUGAUAUAUGGUUGUUGUUGUUGAUGGUACCUCUCCUUGGUGUUGUUUGUGUUGCAGUCGUUGAUGGUACCUCUCCUUGAUAUACGGG